AGUAACACACAAUACCCAAUUGUCAAGUUGCAUAGGCGAUCUCUAGAAUGAUAUAGAGCGCCUAUGUGAGAUAAGCGCUUUGUAUGUUGAACCUAUAGAGCGCCUUCCACAGUUAACCGCUCUACAGGAUAUAUCAAAAAUUUACACCAUACAUAUAGAGCGCCUCUCUUAGCUAACCGUUCUAUGAUAUUAUAAUAAUAUAAAAAAAAAAAAAAAAAAAAAAAGCAUAUACUAGUACGCAGUUACCCUAACUCAUUUCCUAUCAAGAGCUAGCCGUCACCUUCUGUUUUCUUCAUUACCCAUCUCUCUCCUCUAACCCUAACUCCUUCCCUCUCUUCUAAAUUCAUCCCUCAUACCACCAUGUUCUGCAGCCAUCACCAGCUCCAAUGGCUCCAACCCGCAAUAGAUCAAAGCCAACCCAGAAACCCCCGUUCACCACCAUAGAAGCCCUUUUAAUCACCACCAAAAACCCUUCGACCAAGGAGUCUUAUAGCGCGCGCGUUGUCUGAUCGGUUUGUCCGCGGUGGGUUGAACUAAUUCUUUCCACGAAUUGCCGCCAUUGACCGAGCCAGGCCUGAAUCUGUGUUCGAAUUUCAAUGUUUAAAUAUUGAUCUAAAACGAAUUGAGAAGUCUAAAGAUGCAAAAAGUGUAGAUUUGUGGGUGCAGUGGUUGAUUCGGGGGCGUAGGUGAGCAGUGGGUUUCGGCUGUUGUGAUUGCAGUGGUGGCUGUCUGAAAUGUUGUUGAAAAAAUUAGAACGCGAGUAGAGGUGUUGCAAAGGAGGUAGUUGUAUCGCCAUUUGUUGUGGUGGGGUGCUUGGAAGGUGUUGACGGCAAUGGUGGUUGUCUAAACUUGUACUAUUGUAAUUUUUAAUUGAAAUACUGGUAAUCUAGUAUAUAAUUUUUUUUA